UACAGAGGUCCCAAGCGUUGUUCGGAUUCAUUGGGCGUAAAGGGUGCGUAGGCGGCGCGGUAAGUCGGGUGUGAAAUCUCGGAGCUUAACUCCGAAACUGCAUUCGAUACUGCCGUGCUUGAGGACUGGAGAGGAGACUGGAAUUUACGGUGUAGCGGUGAAAUGCGUAGAUAUCGUAAGGAAGACCAGUGGCGAAGGCGGCGACCUGGUCCUUGACUGACGCUGAGGCGCGAAAGCGUGGGGAGCAAACAGG
rnacentral:rRNA from 1 species